AAUUAGUCGUGAUCUGAAACUGAUAACCUGAUGAGCCCAAGGUAGGGCGAAACCAGUU
rnacentral:hammerhead_ribozyme from 15 species